GACGAACGCUGGCGGCGUGCUUAACACAUGCAAGUCGAACGGAAAGGCCUGUCCUUCCUUGUGUUGGACGGGUACUCGAGUGGCGAACGGGUGAGUAACACGUGAGUGAUCUGCCCCCAACUUGGGUAUAAGCCUGGGAAACUGGGUCUAAUUCCCGAUAGGACUGCAGGGUGGUGCCUAUGGUGGAAAACGAUUUUCUAGUGGUUGGGGAUGAGCUCGCGGCCUAUCAGCUUGUUGGUGGGGUAAUGGCCUACCAAGGCGGCGACGGGUAGCCGGCCUGAGAGGGUGGACGGCCACAUUGGGACUGAGAGACGGCCCAGACUCCGACGGGAGGCAGCAGUGGGGAAUAGUGCACAAUGGGCGGAAGCCUGAUGCAGCGACGCAGCGUGGGGGAUGACGGACUUCGGGUGGUAAACUCCUUUCGACCGCGAGGAAGCCGCCUGGUUGGAAGGGUGGUGACGGUAGUGGUAGAAGAAGCACCGGCUAACUACGUG
rnacentral:rRNA from 1 species